rnacentral:rRNA from 1 species
CACGUAGGGCGCAAGCGUUGUCCGGAAUUAUUGGGCGUAAAGAGCUCGUAGGCGGUCUGUUACGUCUGCUGUGAAAACCCGCGGCUUAACCGCGGGCUUGCAGUUGAUACGGGCAGGCUAGAGUUCGGUAGGGGAGACUGGAAUUCCUGGUGUAGCGGUGAAAUGCGCAGAUAUCAGGAGGAACACCGGUGGCGAAGGCGGGUCUCUGGGCCGAUACUGACGCUGAGGAGCGAAAGCGUGGGGAGCGAACAGG